rnacentral:lncRNA from 1 species
GAGGCUUCGUAGAGGAGGGGGUGUUUGAGCUGGGCCUUGAAGGUCAAAAGGGUUUUGUUAGGUGGGAAAUGGGGGAAGGACAGUCUGAAACGGUUAGGUACAUUCAAGGAGCCCAGAGAAGGUUCGUGGCUGGAGCAGACGCAUUCGUAGAGUGAAGUCAUGGGAGAAGAGGCUGGGAAACUAGAUUGGGUCCAACUCCUAAAGGACCACUGAAGGAGUGUGGGCUGCACGCUGGGUGCAGCAGGUGAGCUUCCUCACUUGGGUUUCACUGUCAGCAUUUUUAAAAGGCAAACUGGUUCUCUUCCUGAGAAGAAUUCAUUGAUUCACUCGUGGCCAGUAAGUCAUCUGACAAACCCUUGUGUACUUCUGAUGGGAUAGGAGUGUUUGUAGACAACAGGCACACAAAUAUAACAUGCAGCCCAGUGCAGCUCAGGAGCAGCCUUCCAUGGAUAAGCGGUUGGUACCUACAGUGUGCUCCUGUCCUUGCUAAUCUGAACACAUAGGUAGUAACCUUAAGCAUGUCUCAAUCUUCUGACUUGUGAUGAGGUUUCCAAUUCUUGUUCCUGACUUUAGAAUGAAGUUUGGAGAGUUGUCAUUAGGUCUCUAGGUUCUGAGGAUUACUGUGGGGUGGGCAGAGGGAGAGAAGAGUGUUGGGGCCAGAUGUUCCUGUGCUUCUACCAGAAAGUUGAUUUGCCCAGUGUACCACCCUCACUUGGCAGGCCUGAGCAGAGUGGCCUGCCACUGACAACCCAGAGAAAGAAGGUACAGUGCAGGCUUGCCCUGGUGGGCUCUUGGAUGCCCUAAGCUGCAGCAUCCAGGGCCAGGUGGGAUUUGGUAGGAUAGGCCCCCCGUCUACUGUGUCUGAUCAUACUGCCUUUGAAAGAGGAGGGUGGGUGAUGAAGACAAGACGAUGAGACAGGGUGGCCUCUGCAUGUUGUAGCACCCAACUGGGACAUUUGCAGAUGAUACUUGGAAAAAGCUUUAGGAAAGAGGCCCACUUCAUUUAUGAAAUGACACCAGCUAAUGUUUGACCUUAGUCAUAUGUUCCUUGGUUCCUCAUUUUGCCAUCUGCUGGCUGACUCAUACAACUUCACUUUUAAUUAAAGGUGGGCUGUGAUGAGAGUCAUGAUCAGUGAGUGGCUUCCAUGGCAGAAAGUUCUGUGUAGUUCUUGGGGGAUGUGAGUAUAAUUCUAACAUCUUUGUCAUCAGUGUUGACAUCUCUUGAUUGUAUCCUGUCAUUCCAUUUGAGAUCUUCCUGGUUCUGGCUGGCAUCCUCUGACAUCACUCCAGCAGAAGAAAGGGAAGGAACACGCUGCAUUACUGCGUGGUGAGUGCAGUAGUCUACCUUCGCCACAUGGCCUCCAUUGAUCCCUGAAAUGGGUGAGGGGCUUCUUGUUUCUGCUGGGCAGGAGUGGACUUUUUGGAUCUGAUCUGGGGCUGUACUCAUACCUUUGUGGCUGGGAGGGUUCGAUAUUUUUCAGCACUGUAUCCAAUAUCACCUGCACAGACACCUUAGGGGAUGGGGACUUGCUGUUGCCUGGCAGGGAUGAAAGUGCCAGCUCCCUAAUUGGCCACCUCCGACAGCACCAAGGUAGACAGGAG